GUGGGAGGGGGCUUGCUCCCGAAGGCAGUGUGUCAGCCAGCAUCCCUUUCACUGACACACCGAAUUCGGGAGCAAGCCCCCUCCCAC
rnacentral:antisense_RNA from 1 species